rnacentral:rRNA from 1 species
AUGAUUGGAGUUGCUCCAGUAAAUCCAAUUUAUUUCAUCGUCACAAUCCAAGAACGGAGCACAAACACGUCUAGGAUUGCCAUGGCUAAAAUUCACCGAGUUGCAAUUCCGGUGAGGAGAGCAUCAAGCUGCCGCGUUAACGAAGGCCACGAUCCUGUCGAGCAUCUCCUUGGCCUUGUCGCAGUCGGGCUUGAAGAGGUAGAAGACGUGGCCCUCCCCGUCCGUCUCCAGCAUUUCCACUCCCUUGCCGGCGGCGGCCAGCGCCUCCGCGUACGCGCGGCCGCGCCACCUGAGGAAGUCGCCCUCCGCCGUGCACACCAUCACCCGCUCGCACGCCAGCGCCCCCAGCCCCGGCGCGCCGGGCGCCAUGGGGUUCAUCCGCGGGUCGUCCAUGCCGGUGGUGCCCGGGCACGCGAACAUCCAGAGCCCCGCGCCCCGGGCGCGCGCCGCGGGGUCGCGUGUCUCCUCCCCCACGGUCUCGGAGCCCCAGAACCAGGGGUGGAUCAGCACCGCGCCCCCGAGGCGCGCGGCGCCCGGCUGGAUGGCGACGUGGUGGCAGAUGUUGGCGCCGGCGCUGUCGCCGGCCACGAAGACGCGGUCGAGGUCGCCGUGCGCCGCGACCCAGGGGUCGGCCGCGGAGAGCACCCAGCGGAGCGCGUCGAGGCAGUCGUCGUAGGCCGCCGGGAGCGGGUGCUCCGGCGCGAGGCGGUAGUCGAGGGAGACGCCGAGGGCCGGGCAGGCGGAGGACAGAUCGUUGAGGAAGCGGUGGUAGUUGGGGGACUUUGCCGACUCGGCCACGAAGCCGCCGCCGUGGACGUAGACGAUGACGGGGAGCUUCGCCGCCGUGGCGGCCGCGGCGGAUGGGGGCAGGUAGAGGCGGGCGGAGUAGGCGCCGAGGUCGACGUCCUUGGACUGGACGCCGGUGGAGGGGUCGGGCCCUGGUGCGACGGGCGGGAGCACGAGGGGGCGCUCGAUGCGGCCGCUCUUGUAGACUCGGAGGAGCGGGCCGAACUCGUGCAUCAGCUCGUCGUCGGCGGCGGGUGCAGGUGCGGUGUUGGACGCCAUGCGCGCGCUCUCUCUCUCUCAGUGGCGAAUGCUCGGGGGGUGAGGGGAGCCGGCUGCUGUGUCUGUGUGUAA